GCCAGGCAUGGUGGUGGGUGCCUGUAGUCCCAGCUACUUGGGAGGCUGAGGCAGGAGAAUUACUUGAACCCGGGAGGCGGGGUUGCAGUGAGCUGAGAUUGCGCCACUGCACUCCAGCCUGGGUAACAGAGUGAGACUCUGUCUCAA
rnacentral:SRP_RNA from 2 species